rnacentral:rRNA from 1 species
GACGAACGCUGGCGGCGUGCCUAAUACAUGCAAGUAGAACGCACAGUUUAUACCGUAGCUUGCUACACCAUAGACUGUGAGUUGCGAACGGGUGAGUAACGCGUAGGUAACCUGCCUGGUAGCGGGGGAUAACUAUUGGAAACGAUAGCUAAUACCGCAUAAUAUUGAUUAUUGCAUGAUAAUUAAUUGAAAGGUGCAAUUGCACCACUACCAGAUGGACCUGCGUUGUAUUAGCUAGUAGGUGAGGUAACGGCUCACCUAGGCGACGAUACAUAGCCGACCUGAGAGAGUGAUCGGCCACACUGGGACUGAGACACGGCCCAGACUCCUACGGGAGGCAGCAGUAGGGAAUCUUCGGCAAUGGACGAAAGUCUGACCGAGCAACGCCGCGUGAGUGAAGAAGGUUUUCGGAUCGUAAAGCUCUGUUGUAAGAGAAGAACGGGUGUGAGAGUGGAAAGUUCACACUGUGACGGUAUCUUACCAGAAAGGGACGGCUAACUACGUG